rnacentral:rRNA from 1 species
CCUACGGGAGGCAGCAGUGGGGAAUAUUGGGCAAUGGGCGCAAGCCUGACCCAGCAACGCCGCGUGAAGGAAGAAGGCUUUCGGGUUGUAAACUUCUUUUCUGAGGGACGAAGAAAGUGACGGUACCUCAGGAAUAAGCCACGGCUAACUACGUGCCAGCAGCCGCGGUAAUACGUAGGUGGCAAGCGUUAUCCGGAUUUAUUGGGUGUAAAGGGCGUGUAGGCGGGAAAGCAAGUCAGAUGUGAAAACUCAGGGCUCAACCCUGAGCCUGCAUUUGAAACUGUUUUUCUUGAGUGCUGGAGAGGCAAUCGGAAUUCCGUGUGUAGCGGUGAAAUGCGUAGAUAUGUGGAAGAACACCGAUGGCGAAGGCAGCCUCCUGGGACGCAACUGACGCUCAUACACGAAAGCGUGGGGAGCAAACAGGAUUAGAUACCCCAGUAGUC